GAUGAAGAACGCAGUGAAAUGCGAUACUUGGUGUGAAUUGCAGAAUCCCGUGAACCAUCGAGUCUUUGAACGCAAGUUGCGCCCGAAGCCAUUAGGCCGAGGGCACGCCUGCCUGGGCGUCACACGUCGUUGCCCCCCCAUCUACUCCUUCGGGAUUGUGGGGGGCGGAUGAUGGCCUCCCGUGCGCCUCGUCGCGCGGUUGGCAUAAAUGCCAAGUCCUCGGCGACGCACGCCACGACAAUCGGUGGUUGCGAAACCUCGGUUGCCCGUCGUGUGCGGUCGUCGCGCAUCGAGGGCUCGAAAAAAUUGUCGGGCUCCGGCUCGGCUUUCAACGCGACCCCAGGUCAGGCGGGGUUACCCGCUGAAUUUAAGCAUAUCAAUAAGCGGAGGA
rnacentral:misc_RNA from 1 species